AAUAUAAGACAUAAAUACAGGGGCCAUAAGCCCAUCACUUCAGUUUAGUUCUAGCUGCCUUAGUGGAUACAUAUAUGCAUUUUCUGACCAGGAUAUGCUGGACUUUGAGCACUGCUACCAAGUGUUAACGAAAAUGUGCAAAUUCACCUCUUUUCCCACUGGAAAAAGGUAAAUAUCAAAAUAUCAUAGUCCAGGUCACAAAAGCAAAGUCUGAAGGGGAUAGCCAUUUUCUUUAGGCAGAAGUUAUUAAAAAAUAACACUUAUUACAAAGGAACUAAAAUUGUGUUUCAUGGUGAAAUCACUGUCAGUGCUCUAGAUAACAGCUUGCUACCUGCCAAUAAAGCCAGUUGCACAACAACUGUUCUCCACCACUUUGAACCUCACACACUUUAAAAUGAACAGCAGAAUGUGAGUGGUGGAUAAACUUUUCACCCUUUUCAAAGUUUGAUUCAAAUAACUGGCAAACUCAUUAACAUGUGAAAGCAGUUUAUCAGUUAUUACCCUAACAUGAUUUGUCUCCAACAAACAUGAAAUAACAUUGAAGUCAGUGUAAACUACUUGAGCUGCAGCUAUCAGCCACAUUGUUGCGAUAGAUGAUUAUCCAAAAACAAAUCAACCAUCCAAGCCAAAAGCUGGCUAAUUGAUUUCUGGGUCCAGGUAGCCUAGUGAGACACAGUAGGAGCAAUGUUCUGAUUACAGCAUCUAGUCAACAACAACCCCGCUGCUGCACUGACUGACAGACACAAAAAUGAGAACCCUGAUGCUACAAAAUGCCCAAAUGCUCAUAACACUUUUCUACAAGUGUGUGUUAUUGAUUUCCUGCUAAGAGAUGUGAUGACCAAAAUACCAGACCUCCACUGCAAAACACACAGACCCGAUGCCUGAGCAGGGAUCUAUGAUCUCUGUUCAUCAAACAAUGACUACAAGUUUUCUUUUCUAUGGUGUAAUAUGCAGCAUGUUUUACUACCACCCUAUUCAUUAAUUCAAUUAUAUAUGUUUAUAACUUGUCUGACUGCUUGUGUUUCUUGAUCUGUCAUGUCAUUGUGUUCCCAGAUCUAAGCAUCUAACUCGGUGAGUACAGUGUUGUCACAACUGAUAGAAAUGAUGGACAAAACUAUGAAAAUAAGACUCCUGUUGUACUUUCCCUUCAUUAGAUUAGUCAGUUGAGAUACAUUUGUUUUUGAUAAUCCAAUCAUCAUGGUUACAUGGUUCUGAAAUGUGUCGAUUUGCUGUUUGUCAUUUUGCUGUAAAUUAAAUACCUUUUGCCUGCGGUGUUUUAGAGCUAAAUGCUAAUGGCAGCAAUAACAAUGUUAACAUUCUGCUGUUCAGCAGAUAUAGCUUUUGCAGGUAUUGUAAGUAUCGGACAAUGUAAAAUGUAUAUUGACUUGAUGGUGGCGCUGGUGGAAAAGUCAGCAGAUCACCAAGUUAUUAUACAGUAAUUCAUUCUAAGAGGUACAUGUAGAUAUUUCAGACUGGACCAAAGUGAUGAUCUGAACACUGCCAACCCUUGCGGUGCUACAAAUAAUCAAUAAAUAAUGACAUUUUUAAUUAGCUACAGCCAUACCAUCAUGAGCAUGCCAACCUGAUGACUGUUCAAUUUUUUGGGUCAUUAGGAUGUAUUCAUUGCAUCACAUUUAUUUAUUUAUUGCAGGUAGGGUUACUCAUCCCUACAUACAUCUUUGGCACACAAUCAGCCAGAUGCAGGACCAACCCACAGUAUUAAGAUAGUAGUAGUACACAGGAUUUAACCAUUAGUCCUUGACAGAGAGUAUUCACUUUGUCAAAUUAAAACACCUCUCAAGGCUUUGACUCUCUUCUUGACCCCUCUGAGUGUAGCUUUGAUAAAACAUACCACUCUGACCCUUAGAUGCACACAAAGAAGCCUUUGGCUAUUUUUGCUGCCUGUUCUGAAUGGUGAUUCCUAUAACCUGACUGCUUUGUUGAAGCCCCAGACAUCCAUCGGAUCCUGCAUCGCGCCUCGACCUCUGAGCACACAGCACCGUUGCUUUGCCUCUGCAUCUUUUACUAUUAAUAAAGGAGCAGAUCGCAGACAGACAGACAGCACCGGAGACGACAACAAAGAGGUUUUUGUCA